ACAGCUGGACCUGGAAGCCACGAGAGCUUCCCGAGGAAGAGGGCGAAGGCGCGGGGGUGGAAGAGGGUAUGCCUGUGGUCAUCACCUUCCGAGACGACACGACCCGGCGAUUCAGAUUUCUCUCAUUCCUUGCCUCAACAACAUGCUCUGCUUCUUGAGCUUGCAGGGAUAUGAGGAGAGAACUCUAUUGUUGGCAGUGACUGCAUCAUUUCCACAAGUGAUAUGGUUGAUCUUUGCUAUGUGGACGAUGGCAGGAUCUGUACCUAAGUUUGGAGAUUCUGAAUUAAACACGUGAGAAAUCACUGAUGCGCAUGGAUGAUAGCUUUCCCACGAUGAAACAAAGUUGAUCUUGAAAUAAUCAUAGCUGAGGGAUUAGGUUCGUAACUGAGGGUAUGUGCAGAGCUGGAGGAAGAAGUUGCGAGGCUUGAAACUCUUCUUGUGAAGGGCUCAGGGACAGCAAUGGGGACAAUGCCUCCUUAGUUGUAAUUGUGAUACUCCUGAUGUGCAA